UGGUAACAACACAGUCUGUGAUUGGCUAACAACAUUUAGGUCUGUAUACAGCGAGAUAAGAUAACAUACCACGCCAUAAGGUGUUGAGGGAAAGACAGACUACCUAUAGAUUGGACAUAAUAUUUUCUAGGCCAUUAGCGAUAACAGGAAGCUCGAGGGGCUACACUCGGAGGCUACUUCGGAAUGUCGGCUUGCAUGGGAAAAAUGAAUGGACCAUUAUUCUGCACCUAUAUCGAAACAGGAGCAGCGGGAAAAAAUGUAAUAUCAUCCAUGCACAGAAAUAGCGAAUGGAGGAUGCUUUUCCCUGUGUUUUUUCCCCCAUGCCAGCCAGCCCCUGCUGCUUCACCUUUGAGGAACCAGCAGGAGAGACACCGAAGCGUGGUGAUCCGCCUCAAUGUGAAAAUGCUCCAGGGGGAGUCUGCCUGAGUAAAGACUGAGUAAAUGUGUCAGCGUCAAUAUUAAACUAUGAAAUAAUAUUUGUUCUGUAAUUGUAACAACAUAGAACUCAAGUCCUUUUGUUCACCUGACCUAGAAUUCCUCACAAUCAAAUGCCGACCGUAUUAUCUCCCAAGAGAACUCUCCUUGGUUAUCGUCACAA